ACGCGAAAGCCCCCUUCGGGGGGCAAGUAGAGUGGCGCACGGGUGAGUAACACGUAGGUAAUCUACCUUUGGAUUGGGAAUAACCACCGGAAACGGUGGCUAAUACCGAAUAAUGCAGCGGCACCUAAUGGUGACAGUUGUUAAAGCGGGGGAUCGCAAGACCUCGCGUCUGAAGAGGAGCCUGCGGCGGAUUAGCUAGUUGGUAAGGUAACGGCUUACCAAGGCGAUGAUCCGUAGCCGGCCUGAGAGGGCGGUCGGCCACACUGACACUGACAUACGGGUCAGACUCCUACGGGAGGCAGCAGUCGGGAAUUUUGGGCAAUGGGCGAAAGCCUGACCCAGCAACGCCGCGUGAAGGAUGAAAUCCUUCGGGAUGUAAACUUCGCAAGAACGGGAAGAAUAAGUAGGGGACAAUACCCUCUACGAUGACGGUACUGUUUGUAAGCUCCGGCUAACUCCGUGCCAGCAGCCGCGGUAAUACGGGGGGAGCAAGCGUUG
rnacentral:rRNA from 1 species